GCGGCCCGGUGCGCGCGCAGAGAGAGAGAGAGAGAGAGAGAGAGAGAGAGAGAGAGAGAGAGAGAGAGAGAGAGAACCCGAGGCAGAGAGAGGGAGAGAGGGGAGAGCGAGAGCCAACCACGGCCGAGUCAAGAUUCAGCGAUUCCACAGCAAUCGCCCUAAUGACAACAGCCUCAUAAUAUCUCCCCUAAAUCCACAACUUCAGCUGUCUCCCACAGUGGUAGACUAGCAACAGGAGGCCAGAAACCUAGGGACACUGGACCUAGGGGAGGAUGGAGGAUGCCCACUUUUCCUACCAUGGGUACAACCCCUGUCAUGCCCAACAUCCCCCAAAAGAUACAGAAACUUUAGAGGCCACCCUGAGUAAGCGCCCAAGGCCUGAAAGCCUUGUAUGUAAAUAACUACAAUAGAUAAUAAAAGCCAAAAUUCUCCAUACAUAAAGCAAUAUCAUAACCCUGAAACAGACUCCCCUUGUCCAAAGAACGCAGAGGGUCUUUCCUGCCUGCGACUACCACAACCUCCAAGCCAGGCCCGGGCAUUUAUUUAUUCUUAGGUAUGUUGCUUGUGAGAAGUUGUAAUCUGCAUCUUGAGGCCGGCCUCCCUUUGUGAGGCUUCUGUAACUAUGGAAGUGUGAUUUACGCAGAUUUGUCCGGGUCAGAGACAUCUUUCCCUACGCACUGUGUAUAUUUAGACAGGAUUCGGACUGGUGUUAAAAAGUGUAUAUGUUGAAUGGAUUCACACACAGUAGCUAACAAUGCCCACAUUGUCGGCCCAUGUACAACGCGUAUUGAAACGCAGCGCCCAGACUUCAACUAAUCUGCCCUCAAUAAAGCUGAAAUAAUUAUCCUAA
rnacentral:lncRNA from 1 species